rnacentral:lncRNA from 1 species
UUUUGCGAGUAAAUUGCACAAAACGUCCUUAUGUUUCCUCAAACUUGCAGGUUACAGCCUUAAUGUUUAAAACUUGCUAAAAACACCCUUUAAGUUUAUUUUUGUUGCAGGUUUAAUCCUUUAUGACUAACCAAGACCGACAUCAACUGACUCGCAAAAUGGAAUGGGGAUGUGGUGCAAACGCAAAACUGCCUGAAACCCAAGCAAAAUUGCCUCUGUUUUCAUCGGAGAUAUAGUCCAAACACAAUUGGUUCUCUUAAAUUUAUGGAGCCAUUCACAUGGAACAAGCCCCUUUUCAUUCUGAGCUAUC